rnacentral:rRNA from 1 species
UGCAAGUCGAACGCUUCUUUUUCCACCGGAGCUUGCUCCACCGGAAAAAGAGGAGUCGGCGAACGGGUGAGUAACACGUGGGUAACCUCGCCCAUCAGAAGGGGAUAACACUUCGGAAACAGGUGCUAAUACCGUAUAACAAUCAAAACCGCAUGGUUUUGAUUUGAAAGGCGCUUUCGGGUGUCGCUGAUGGAUGGACCCGCGGUGCAUUAGCUAGUUGGUGAGGUAACGGCUCACCAAGGCCACGAUGCAUAGCCGACCUGAGAGGGUGAUCGGCCACAUUGGGACUGAGACACGGCCCAAACUCCUACGGGAGGCAGCAGUAGGGAAUCUUCGGCAAUGGACGAAAGUCUGACCGAGCAACGCCGCGUGAGUGAAGAAGGUUUUCGGAUCGUAAAACUCUGUUGUUAGAGAAGAACAAGGAUGAGAGUAACUGUUCAUCCCUUGACGGUAUCUAACCAGAAAGCCACGGCUAACUACGUGCCAGCAGCCGCGGUAAUACGUAGGUGGCAAGCGUUGUCCGGAUUUAUUGGGCGUAAAGCGAGCGCAGGCGGUUUCUUAAGUCUGAUGUGAAAGCCCCCGGCUCAACCGGGGAGGGUCAUUGGAAACUGGGAGACUUGAGUGCAGAAGAGGAGAGUGGAAUUCCAUGUGUAGCGGUGAAAUGCGUAGAUAUAUGGAGGAACACCAGUGGCGAAGGCGGCUCUCUGGUCUGUAACUGACGCUGAGGCUCGAAAGCGUGGGGAGCAAACAGGAUUAGAUACCCUGGUAGUCCACGCCGUAAACGAUGAGUGCUAAGUGUUGGAGGGUUUCCGCCCUUUCAGUGCUGCAGCUAACGCAUUAAGCACUCCGCCCUGGGGAGUACGACCCGCAAGGUGA